UUCAAAAGUUUGCUCAUCUGGAAAUCUCAAGAAAUCUCAUCUGGAGUGAUUUCGAAUAAAUUUAUGCAAGUCUUGCAAGUUCGUAUGGAGACAGACACGCAAGUCCACGUAAAGUCCAUCUUUCUGCGUUACCUGGAUACUACAAAGGAUCUGCAUUAGUUCCGGACAAUAGUUACACGGACAAAUAAGAUUUGACACGUGUGAAUAAUUGCAUUGUCAAUUUCAUCUCGGAAUAAGUUGGUUAUCGAGAUUCCGAUCGAGAGCUGGGUUUUGGACGAUUCGGACACCGAGUUGAUGAAGCUGGUCCCCUUGUUGGUCAAGCUGAAUUAAGACCUUCGCCCUCCUACAUUCGACAGUUCUAAGACGCAGACUUCUACUUUUAGAAGACGUAUGUGUUGGAAUUAGACUAUUCUCAUUUGUGUGUCAAAGUGAAGCAGCGAAUUCUUACCGUUUUAGUACAACCGAUUCUUUCAAUACGUAAUCAAUUGAACAACGAUGCUUUUAUUUGUAUUGGUUCUCUGCUAAUCAUUGGGUUUAGCCACAAGCAGCGAAUUGUAAACCAAGAAAUGCAAAAGAAGGCUUGGCUGGAUGCCCAAAUUCAACGUCACAAAUUUAUGAAUAGGAUAAGUUUUUGAAUUAUGGAAAUUUAUCUCAGUUUUUAAGCUUGUCUAGUUAGAAUUUUAGCUUGGAAAUAGUAACGUACAGAAAUUAAAGUUAACUUUUGCUAGCUAAUUAAAUGACAUGAAAUUUAUUAAGAUAAUUACUUUUGACUACAGAAUUUUCCCGAAAAACAAUUUUACACAAUAAUUCGUUUAUCAGGUCACAAAAAUC